rnacentral:rRNA from 1 species
AGUGAACGCUGGCGGUAGGCCUAACACAUGCAAGUCGAACGGCAGCACAGUAAGAGCUUGCUCUUACGGGUGGCGAGUGGCGGGCGGGUGAGGAAUACAUCGGAAUCUACUUUUUCGUGGGGGAUAACGUAGGGAAACUUACGCUAAUACCGCAUACGACCUACGGGUGAAAGCAGGGGAUCUUCGGACCUUGCGCGAUUGAAUGAGCCGAUGUCGGAUUAGCUAGUUGGCGGGGUAAAGGCCCACCAAGGCGACGAUCCGUAGCUGGUCUGAGAGGAUGAUCAGCCACCCUGGAACUGAGACACGGUCCAGACUCCUACGGGAGGCCGCAGUGGGGAAUAUUGGACAAUGGGCGCAAGCCUGAUCCAGCCAUACCGCGUGGGUGAAGAAGGCCUUCGGGUUGUAAAGCCCUUUUGUUGGGAAAGAAAAGCAGCAGGUUAAUACCCCGCUGUUCUGACGGUACCCAAAGAAUAAGCACCGGCUAACUUCGUG